rnacentral:rRNA from 1 species
ACGGACAUAUCACGUUAAAACACCGGUUCUUGUACGAUCACCGAAGUUAAGCAACGUCGUGCCUGGUCAGUACCUAGGUGGGUGACCGCUUAGGAAUACCAAGUGCAGUA